rnacentral:rRNA from 1 species
UACGAAGGGGGGCUAGCGUUGCUCGGAAUCACUGGGCGUAAAGCGCACGUAGGCGGACUCUUAAGUCGGUGGUGAAAUCCUGGAGCUCAACUCCAGAACUGCCUUCGAUUACUGAGAGUCUCGAGUCCGGGAGAGGUGAGUGGAACCUGCGAGUGUAGGAGGUGAAAUUCGUAGAUAUUCGCAAAGAACACCAGUGGCGAAGGCGGCUCACUGGCCCAUAACUGACGCUGAGGCACG